CACACCGCUGGUGUACCAGUUGUUCCGCCAGGAGCAUAGCUGGGUAGCUACGUGUGGAAGGGAUAAGUGCUGAAAGCAUCUAAGCAUGAAGCCCCCCUCGAGAUGAGAUUUCCCUUGGAGUUAAUCCAGUAAGACCCCUUAAAGAUGAUGAGGUUGAUAGGUCUCGGGUGGAAGCACGGCGACGUGUGGAGCUGAGAGAUACUAAUCGGUCGAGGACUUAUCCUA
rfam:Anaerobacillus sp. NB2006 Ga0137927_1011, whole genome shotgun sequence.